GACGAACGCUGGCGGCGUGCUUAACACAUGCAAGUCGAACGGAAAGGCCCUGCUUUUGUGGGGUGCUCGAGUGGCGAACGGGUGAGUAACACGUGAGUAACCUGCCCUUGACUUUGGGAUAACUUCAGGAAACUGGGGCUAAUACCGGAUAGGAGCUCCUGCUGCAUGGUGGGGGUUGGAAAGUUUCGGCGGUUGGGGAUGGACUCGCGGCUUAUCAGCUUGUUGGUGGGGUAGUGGCUUACCAAGGGUUUGACGGGUAGCCGGCCUGAGAGGGUGACCGGCCACCUUGGGACUGAGAUACGGCCCAGACUCCUACGGGAGGCAGCAGUGGGGAAUAUGGCACAAUGGGCGGAAGCCUGAUGCAGCAACGCCGCGUGCGGGAUGACGGCCUUCGGGUUGUAAACCGCUUUCGCCUGUGACGAAGCGUGAGUGACGGUAAUGGGUAAAGAAGCACCGGCUAACUACGUG
rnacentral:rRNA from 1 species